CCUCUAGCCGCGGUGUUUGUGACGGCUGCUCGGGGGUGUGCGGGCCUCCGCCUGGGCGUCAGCGCCGGAAUCGCCGUGAGGGGCCCCGAGAAAGGCUAUAGAGGGGUCAGAGAGCAUGGUUCUGCACAGUUAGAAGAACAAGUUUUCCCCUUCCUCCUUAUGCUGGAGCUCUUGAAAAGUCCAAGUCAUGUGAUGUUUACUGAGCAGUCAUGUAAAACACAAGAUUCUAGGGAGGAGAAUGAGAAUGAAGAUCAGGAAAGAAGAAAAUUAGUGAAGGCCUUUCAUAGACUGAAGAGGACAAUGUGGUAAUAAUGGAACCUUCUGAAAGUCUAAUGUAGAAGAUUGUCUGGUAGAAGAUUGUCUAUGGAAGAAGUUACCUCAACUCUACUAGAGGGAACUGAUACCUCAUCUGUAAAAAGGGGAAAGCACCAAGGUAUUGGAUGGAAUAAAUAAGAAUGUGG